rnacentral:piRNA from 1 species
UGUGAGUCAUGAGUACUGGAGGUGAGGA